AGAGUUUGAUCAUGGCUCAGAGUGAACGCUGGCGGCGUGCUUAACACAUGCAAGUCGAACGAGAACGGGUUACAGCUUGCUGUAACUGUCAGCUAAGUGGCGCACGGGUGAGUAAUAUAUAGGUAACAUGCCCCAAAGAAGAGGAUAACGUUUGGAAACGAACGCUAAUACUCUAUAUGCCUUUAAGUCAUAAGACUGCAAGGGAAAUAUUUAUAGCUUUGGGAUUGGCCUGUACAGUAUCAGCUAGUUGGUGAGGUAAUGGCUCACCAAGGCUAUGACGCUUAACUGGUUUGAGAGGAUGAUCAGUCACACUGGAACUGAGACACGGUCCAGACUCCUACGGGAGGCAGCAGUGGGGAAUAUUGCACAAUGGACGAAAGUCUGAUGCAGCAACGCCGCGUGGAGGAUGACACAUUUCGGUGCGUAAACUCCUUUUAUAUAGGAAGAUAAUGACGGUACUAUAUGAAUAAGCACCGGCUAACUCCGUGCCAGCAGCCGCGGUAAUACGGAGGGUGCAAGCGUUACUCGGAAUCACUGGGCGUAAAGAGAAUGUAGGCGGGUUAAUAAGUUGGAAGUGAAAUCCUAUGGCUCAACCAUAGAACUGCUUUCAAAACUGUUGACCUAGAAUAUGGGAGAGGUAGAUGGAAUUUCUGGUGUAGGGGUAAAAUCCGUAGAGAUCAGAAAGAAUACCGAUUGCGAA
rnacentral:rRNA from 1 species